GACGAACGCUGGCGGCGUGCUUAACACAUGCAAGUCGAACGGAAAGGCCCUGCUUUUGUGGGGUGCUCGAGUGGCGAACGGGUGAGUAACACGUGAGUAACCUGCCCUUGACUUUGGGAUAACUUCAGGAAACUGGGGCUAAUACCGGAUAGGAGCUCCUGCUGCAUGGUGGGGGUUGGAAAGUUUCGGCGGUUGGGGAUGGACUCGCGGCUUAUCAGCUUGUUGGUGGGGUAGUGGCUUACCAAGGCUUUGACGGGUAGCCGGCCUGAGAGGGUGACCGGCCACAUUGGGACUGAGAUACAGCCCAGACUCCUACGGGAGGCAGCAGUGGGGAAUAUUGCACAAUGGGCGGAAGCCUGAUGCAGCAACGCCGCGUGCGGGAUGACGGCCUUCGGGUUGUAAACCGCUUUCGCCUGUGACGAAGCAUGAGUGACGGUAAUGGGUAAAGAAGCACCGGCUAACUACGUG
rnacentral:rRNA from 1 species